GCUGUCAUGGCAGCAGCAACAGCAACAGCAACAGCAACAGCGACGUCGUACUGUGGUUUAAUGUUGCAGCUAAAGCUGAGUUCAUUAACUGCUGAAUCACUGUGCAACUGACAACCAGUUUCCAUCCAUUCACAUGGACAUUGUUUGUGGAACAAAUAAAAAACAUUGCAGACUUUGCGGCAGAAUAGAACUUUAUUUUGAAAUCGCGUAUUUCAGAAUGGCGUAGCAUACUCUUAUGCGCAGCAUUUUAAUGCACUUGGACAGGAGCAAAAUUUACAUAAUUAGUAUAAAUAAUAUAAUAUAUAUGUAAAUAAUAAAUAUUUU